AAAGAACUCAUCCAAAUUAUAUAUUUGGUGUGACCAAAAAACAUAAACAAGUACUCUUGUAGAUUUAUCUGUCCUCUUAAAAACUGCUUUUUUUGUUUUGUUUUCAGAAAGAAAUUAUAUGGCAAAUAUUUCUACUUGCUCCCUUCUCGUUGCUGCUGUUUUUCUAGUUGGAAUAUUGAUGAUCCCAUCGGAAAUAUUGGGAGAAACAUGCUAUCAAAUACACCCAGAGAUAUUGUGUGAUGAAGGCAAAGUUGAAGGGGAAUGUUUACCUUUCUGCAAUGACAAAUUUGGAUCCUCUGCUGGUGGACAAUGCAUUGAGCAAAUUGGCUUUGAUGGUCCUUUUUGUGCAUGUGAUUAUCCUUGCUAAUUAAUUAUAAUAUGUAGUUUUUGUUUAGUCUUUGUAUAUGUAAUGUAAAAUCUACUCUUGUUGGCUGUUUU
rnacentral:misc_RNA from 1 species